rnacentral:sRNA from 1 species
UCCCGAACAUCCUCAUUGGUGCAUUCUU